rnacentral:rRNA from 1 species
UGGCGCAGCUUACCAUGCAGUCGAGCGGUAACAGGGGGUGCUUGCACCCCGCUGACGAGCGGCGGACGGGUGAGUAAUGCAUAGGAAUCUGCCCAGUAGUGGGGGAUAGCCCGGGGAAACCCGGAUUAAUACCGCAUACGCCCUUUGGGGGAAAGCAGGGGAUCUUCGGACCUUGCGCUAUUGGAUGAGCCUAUGUCGGAUUAGCUAGUUGGUGGGGUAAAGGCCUACCAAGGCGACGAUCCGUAGCUGGUCUGAGAGGAUGAUCAGCCACAUCGGGACUGAGACACGGCCCGAACUCCUACGGGAGGCAGCAGUGGGGAAUAUUGGACAAUGGGGGCAACCCUGAUCCAGCCAUGCCGCGUGUGUGAAGAAGGCUUUCGGGUUGUAAAGCACUUUCAGUGAGGAGGAAAACCUUCUGGUUAAUACCCAUGAGGCUUGACGUUACUCACAGAAGAAGCACCGGCUAACUCCGUGCCAGCAGCCGCGGUAAUACGGAGGGUGCAAGCGUUAAUCGGAAUUACUGGGCGUAAAGCGCGCGUAGGUGGUUUGAUAAGCGAGAUGUGAAAGCCCCGGGCUUAACCUGGGAACGGCAUUUC